rnacentral:rRNA from 1 species
UUUGUAAGGUAAUGGUUACCAAGGCUAUGACGGUAUCCGGCUGAGAGGCGUGAACGGAACACACUGGGAACUGAGACACGGUCCAGACUCCUACGGGAGGCAGCAGUAGGGAAUAUUGCUCAAUGGGGGAAACCCUGAAGCAGCAACGCCGCGUGGAGGAUGAAGGUUUUAGGAUUGUAAACUCCUUUUGUUAGAGAAGAUAAUGACGGUAUCUAACGAAUAAGCACCGGCUAACUCCGUGCCAGCAGCCGCGGUAAUACGGAGGGUGCAAGCGUUACUCGGAAUCACUGGGCGUAAAGAGCGCGUAGGCGGGAUAGUCAGUCAGGUGUGAAAUCCUAUGGCUUAACCAUAGAACUGCAUUUGAAACUACUAUUCUAGAGUGUGGGAGAGGGUAAGGUGGAAUUCUUGGUGUAGGGGUAAAAUCCGUAGAGAUCAAGAGGAAUACUCAUUGCGAAGGCGACCUGCUGGAACAUUACUGACGCUGAUUGC